rnacentral:rRNA from 1 species
CAAUAGCGUAUAUUAAAGUUGUUGCGGUUAAAAGCUCGUAGUUGGAUUUCUGCAUGGAAGGAGCGGUCCACCCUUUGGGUGAGUUACUGCUACCUUUUGUGCAUCUUUCUGAGAAGGCGUUCUUCACUUGAUUGUGAGGCCGCAUGACUCAGAACAUUUACUUUGAGGAAAUGAGAGUGUUUCAAGCAGGCAAAUGCCUUGAAUACGUUAGCAUGGAAUAAUAGCAUCGGACCAUCGUCCAGCUGUUGGUGUCUGGGCGAAGGUAAAGGUGAAUAGGGAUUGUUGGGGGCGAUUCUUAUUUAACUUAGUCAGAAGGUGGAAAUUACUUUGGUAG